rnacentral:rRNA from 1 species
GGACCAAGGAGUCUAGCAUGUGCGCGAGUCAUUGGGACUCGGUUAAACCUAAAGGCGCAAUGAAAGUAAAGGUCCGCCUCGCGCGGACCGAGGGAGGAUGGGUCGGCGCCAGCCGCCGGCCCCGCACUCCCGGGGCGUCUCGUUCUCAUCGCGAGAAGAGGCGCACCCAGAGCGUACACGCUGGGACCCGAAAGAUGGUGAACUAUGCCUGGUCAGGACGAAGUCAGGGGAAACCCUGAUGGAGGUCCGUAGCGAUUCUGACGUGCAAAUCGAUCGUCGGAACUGGGUAUAGGGGCGAAAGACUAAUCGAACCUUCUAGUAGCUGGUUCCCUCCGAAGUUUCCCUCAGGAUAGCUGGCGCUCGCCUUGCGAGUCUCAUUCGGUAAAGCGAAUGAUUAGAGGCAUUGGGGUCGAAACGGCCUCAACCUAUUCUCAAACUUUAAAUGGGUGAGAUCUCCGGCUUGCUUGAAGCAUGAAGCCGCGAGAGAUCGGAUCACAGAGUGCCAAGUGGGCCACUUUUGGUAAGCAGAACUGGCGCUGUGGGAUGAACCAAACGCAGAGUUAAAGCGCCAAAAUCGACGCUUAUGGGAUACCAUGAAAGGCGUUGGUAACUUAAGACAGCAGGACGGUGGCCAUGGAAGUCGGA